rnacentral:rRNA from 1 species
UACGUAGGGGGCAAGCGUUGUCCGGAUUUACUGGGCGUAAAGGGCGUGCAGGCGGCUUGUUAAGUGCAGGGUGAAAGCUCCCGGCUCAACUGGGAGAGGUUCUUGCAUACUGGCGAGCUCGAGGGAGGCAGAGGAAAGUGGAAUUCCCGGUGUAGUGGUGAUAUGCGUAGAUAUCGGGAGGAACACCUGUGGCGAAGGCGGCUUUCUGGGCCUUACCUGACGCUGAGACGCGAAAGCGUGGGGAGCGAACAGG